AACCAUAGAAACCUGCGGAGUACCUGCGGAAGGAUCAUUACAGAGUUGCAAAACUCCCACAAACCAUCGCGAAUCUUACCCGUACGGUUGCCUCGGCGCUGGCGGUCCGGAAGGCCCUCGGGCCCCCGGACCCUCGGGUCCCCCGCUCUCGGGGGGCUGCCCGCCGGAGUGCCGAAACCAAACUCUUGAUAUUUUAUGUCUCUCUGAGUAAACUUUUAAAUAAGUCAAAACUUUCAGCAA
rnacentral:misc_RNA from 1 species